GGGGAGGCCUGCUUAUUACUAGCUAGCUUUGUGACGACUUCACAGCAGAAAACACACACACACAUCAAGCGAAAGGAGAGGGAGGGAGGAGAGAUACACUUGAUCUUCCGGCGGAGGACCGAGAAGCUAUCCCCCACUGCACAUAUGGCGGCUGGAUUGGACAGGAAAAAUGGCACCUCCAACGGACGGGCACCUGUGUAUGUGUACCUCGCUCCUUUUUAUCUCCCCAUAUCACUCCCAGCUUCCAGGUUCAGUAGAAGUAGCAAUAGCAGCAGCAGCCUGCGUCCUGCAGGCACCAAUAGUAGUAGUAGAGUAGAGCUCAUUAGUUUCAUCGCCACAUCCAUUAUUGGUGUUACUACCUCCGAUCCAUUACCGGCAGCCCGGUUCGAUCUACGGGUCCCGGUAGUUCCAGAGGCUGUCGCCGGCAUCCGACGACGACGGGUGGUCCGGCGAGUCGUCCGACGAGUUGCGGCCGAACCUCGGGGGGCUCAUCAUCAUCCCCGCGGCCAUGUUGCGCAGGUACUGCGGCGUCUCGAACAGCGCCUCCUCGUCCAGGAAGUAGGGGUUCCCCGCGCCGCCGCCGCCGCCUUCAUGCUGUGCCGCGCCGCUGCUCCCGCCGGCCUGCUGCUGGUGCUGGUGCUGCUGCUGCGUUGCACCAGCCGCGGCGGCAGCAAUGCCGCGCCCAGCAGCGCUGCCAUGGGCCGGCGGCUGGUGAUCGGGCUGCUGCAGCGACGCGGCGGCCUCCGCGGCCGCGGCGCGGAUGUCGUCCGCGGAGGUGGACGCCGGCGCGGGGCGGGACGCGGCCAGGUGCGGGAGGUUGAGCGCCGCGUCGGGCCCGCGCAGCGCGCGCGCGGCCACGUCGUACGCCACGGCGGCCAUCUCGGCCGUCGGGAACGUGCCGAGCCAGAUGCGGCGCGUCUUCCUCGGCUCCCGGAUCUCCGACACCCACUUGCCGCUGCGGCUCCGGAUGCCGCGGUAGAAGGGGUGCUUCCCCGACCGCGGCGAGGCCGGCCCGCCGCGGUCAGACAUUGACGCUGGGCAGCGUUAGGGCUGCAGCUCUCUCUCUCUCUCUCUACUCCGAUCAGCAGCUACACCCAAUCACACUACUAGCUAGCUAGGCACAUAGCCUGUACACUACUAUCUGCACGUGUGCGGAGAUUUGCGGCGGCUCGACCAGUGGCUGCGGCCGUGCAUGCAGGUUGUCACUUGC
rnacentral:misc_RNA from 1 species